rnacentral:rRNA from 2 species
UACGGGAGGCAGCAGUAGGGAAUCUUCCACAAUGGGCGAAAGCCUGAUGGAGCAAUGCCGCGUGAGUGAAGAAGGUUUUCGGAUCGUAAAACUCUGUUGUUGAAGAAGAACAUGCGUGAGAGUAACUGUUCACGUACUGACGGUAUUCAACCAGAAAGCCACGGCUAACUACGUGCCAGCAGCCGCGGUAAUACGUAGGUGGCAAGCGUUGUCCGGAUUUAUUGGGCGUAAAGAGAAUGUAGGCGGUUUAUUAAGUUUGAAGUGAAAGCCCUCGGCUCAACCGAGGAAGUGCUUCGAAAACUGGUAAACUUGAGUGCAGAAGAGGAAAGUGGAACUCCAUGUGUAGCGGUGGAAUGCGUAGAUAUAUGGAAGAACACCAGUGGCGAAGGCGGCUUUCUGGUCUGUAACUGACGCUGAGAUUCGAAAGCAUGGGUAGCAAACAGGAUUAGAUACCCUGGUAGUCCAUGCCGUAAACGAUGAGUGCUAAGUGUUGGAGGGUUUCCGCCCUUCAGUGCUGCAGCUAACGCAUUAAGCACUCCGCCUGGGGAGUACGACCGCAAGGUUGAAACUCAAAGGAAUUGACGGGGGCCCGCACAAGCGGUGGAGCAUGUGGUUUAAUUCGAAGCAACGCGAAGAACCUUACCAGGUCUUGACAUACCAUGAAAAGCUAAGAGAUUAGUCUUUCCCUUCGGGGACAUGGAUACAGGUGGUGCAUGGUUGUCGUCAGCUCGUGUCGUGAGAUGUUGGGUUAAGUCCCGCAACGAGCGCAACCCUUAUUAUCAGUUGCCAGCAUUCAGUUGGGCACUCUGGUGAGACUGCCGGUGACAAACCGGAGGAAGGUGGGGACGACGUCAAAUCAUCAUGCCCCUUAUGACCUGGGCUACACACGUGCUACAAUGGUCGGUACAACGUGUUGCGAACUCGCGAGGGCAAGCAAAUCACUUAAAACCGAUCUCAGUUCGGAUUGCAGGCUGCAACUCGCCUGCAUGAAGCUGGAAUCGCUAGUAAUCGCGGAUCAGCAUGCCGCGGUGAAUACGUUCCCGGGCCUUGUACACACCGCCCGUCACACCAUGAGAGUUUGUAACACCCAAAGUCGGUGGGGUAACCCUUCGGGGAA